CGGAGGAAAAGAAACUAACAAGGAUUCCCCUAGUAACUGCGAGUGAAGCGGGAAAAGCUCAAAUUUAUAAUCUGGCGCAAGCCCGAGUUGUAGUCUGUAGAAGCGUUUUCGGCCGUUGCCUUGGACAAGUCCCUUGGAACAGGGCGUCAUAGAGGGUGAGAAUCCCGUCCUUGCCAAGCUCCCAACGUCUUUGUGAUACGUCUUCCAAGAGUCGAGUUGUUUGGGAAUGCAGCUCAAAAUGGGUGGUAAAUUCCAUCUAAAGCUAAAUAUUGGCGAGAGACCGAUAGCGAACAAGUACCGUGAGGGAAAGAUGAAAAGAACUUUGAAAAGAGAGUUAAACAGUACGUGAAAUUGCUGAAAGGGAAGCGCUUGAAGUCAGUCGCGUUGGCAGGGACUCAGCCUUAACCGGUGCAUUUCCUUGUCGACGGGCCAACAUCGAUUUCGGCCGCGGAAUAAGGGCACGGGGAAUGUGGCAGCUUCGGCUGUGUUAUAGCCUCAUGUCGCACGCCGCGGACGGGAUCGAGGACCGCGGCUUUUGCCUAGGAUGUUGGCGUAAUGGCUUUAAGCGACCCGUCUUG
rnacentral:rRNA from 1 species